GGCUGUGCAUGCCCCAUCCUUGGCAACAGGGCUCUGAGCAGCACGCUCUGGGGGAAGACUGCUCAGCUGGGAACAAGAUGUUGUUCUUCAGGCUCCCUUGCAAGCCCAACCGUUCAGGGACUCCAUCAUUCCAUGGUCCCCACUGUCCACUUCAGACUGAGCCUGGACUCCUGGGAACUGUGAUGUCACAGCCCACACUCCAGCUGGAACUUCCAGCAUCCAGCAAAGAGCACAACACAACCGUUGGCCGUUCUGUUCGCGCGCUCUUCACCCUGCUCCUGCCCACUCUGCUUGUCACCUGCAGCUCGAUAACCUCAUCAGUCCUAAAAGCUCCUUAUUGCCUGGAUUUUGUCAUCCAGCCCUGCAGGAUGCUCCCCUUUGUUCUGAGGAAGGCUGUCCCAGACAGAGAGGAGAAGUUGGAGGUGGAUACAAAGAUUGACAUGGAGGAUGAGAUGGAAAUAGACGGAGAAGACCCUGGAGAGGAAGAGAUGGAUGUGGAUGUGGAUGAGGAAGAGGAGAUGGAAUUGGAUAUGGAAGAGUCCAUUGAGGACAUGGACAUUGAUUAAAAGGGUGCGAUGGACAUCAUGGAGAGAGAUGCCACCUUUUUGUACAUACGUUUUGCACUUAGAUGUUGUCUUUAGGAUAUAGGUUUUAUGGCUUUUUGUCUUCUGUAAAUACGUUUCAUAUAUUUUUUGUUAGAUAGGUUUUUCUGUAUAUAUGUUCUAUCGAUUGUUGUUGUUACAAAUAUUCUUGCAAUGUAAAUCUAUUCUGUAU